GAAAUGCGAUAAGUAAUGUGAAUUGCAGAAUUCAGUGAAUCAUCGAAUCUUUGAACGCACCUUGCGCUCCUUGGUAUUCCUUGGAGCAUGCCUGUUUGAGUAUCAUGAAAUCUUCAAAGUAAAUCUUUUGUUAACUCAAUUGGUUUCUAGUUUGGUAUUGGAGGUCUUUGCAGCUUCACACCUGCUCCUCUUUGUUCAUUAGCUGGAUCUCAGUGUUAUGCUUGGUUCCACUCGGCGUGAUAAGUUAUCUAUCGCUGAGGACACUGUAAAAGGUGGCCAAGGUAAAUGCAGAUGAACCGCUUCUAAUAGUCCAUUGACUUGGACAAUACUUUUAUGAUCUGAUCUCAAAUCAGGUAGGACUACCCGCUGAACUUAAGC
rnacentral:misc_RNA from 1 species